UGUUGGUGCAGUCGAUGCGGCGUGAACGGACACGAAGGAGCGCUCGCCUCGGAAGGGAUGUGACAGUUUCCUGAGACGGAGGCAUCUGUGCACCACAUAGGAGUCUGCGGCACUAUGCAGCCUGAGCAGCACGACAAAGCAUCUGAUCUGCCUGCUUUGACAAGAUGUGAGCAUUUACCACGCAUCAAUUACCCCCAAGGAACAGCGCAAUCAGCCCGCCCGGGUGGACUACAGGAUACGUAUGAACAAAUAUGAAGAAGCUUUCCUUGUUCCAGACGCCCAGUGAUUCAGCGAGGACGCAAUUGGGGCAAAAUCUGCCCAUGGCGGACAAGUCAUUUCAUCAAAAUCCUGAAAGAUAUACCCUCUUUUUGUUUUACCGCUAACAUAAUUUUAAAAAAGUCCACUACUACAUGAACAAUUCAACUUCCUUAGCUAGAUUACUCUCAGAGGCGUAUAUUGUUUGCUUCAGAAAUAAAAAUGAAUAUUUG